GUCCUUGUUGAUUAGUGGUGAAAUCAUCUCGUUGUGGUCGAGAUGCCGGAAGUUCAAAUCCUCCCUGGGACA
rnacentral:tRNA from 1 species